rnacentral:misc_RNA from 1 species
UCCUGGUUAACCCAGGCAGUCUCGUUAGAGUCCCCGGCCAAACCGUUGGCAACUAACGAUAAGGGUUGCGCUCGUUGCGGGACUUAACCCAACACCUCACGGCACGAGCUGACGACAGCCAUGCAGCACCUGCACAGAGGUCCUUGCGGAAGGCGCCAUUUCUGGCGCCGUCCUCUGCAUGUCAAGCCUGGGUAAGGUUCUUCGCGUUGCAUCGAAUUAAACCACAUGCUCCACUGCUUGUGCGGGCCCCCGUCAAUUCUUUUGAGUUUCACCCUUGCGAGCGUACUACUCAGGCGGCAUACUUAACGCGUUAGCUACGACACAAUCAGGGUUGAGCCCGAUUACAUCUAGUAUGCAUCGUUUACAGCGUGGACUAC